GGUGGCUGCGACUGUUUAAUAAAAACACAGCACUCUGCAAACACGAAAGUGGACGUAUAGGGUGUGACGCCUGCCCGGUGCUGGAAGAUUAAAUGAUGGGGUGCAAGCUCUUGAUUGAAGUCCCAGUAAACGGCGGCCGUAACUAUAACGGUCCUAAGGUAGCGAAAUUCCUUGUCGGGUAAGUUCCGACCUGCACGAAUGGCGUAACGAUGGCCACACUGUCUCCUCCCGAGACUCAGCGAAGUUGAAAUGUUUGUGAUGAUGCAAUCUACCCGCGGCUAGACGGAAAGACCCCAUGAACCUUUACUGUAGCUUUGCAUUGGACUUUGAAUCAAUCUGUGUAGGAUAGGUGGGAGGCUUUGAAGCGGGGACGCCAGUUCUCGUGGAGCCAUCCUUGAAAUACCACCCUGGUUCAUUUGAGGUUCUAACCUUGGUCCGUUAUCCGGAUCGGGGACAGUGCAUGGUAGGCAGUUUGACUGGGGCGGUCUCCUCCUAAAGUGUAACGGAGGAGUUCGAAGGUACGCUAGGUACGGUCGGACAUCGUGCUAAUAGUGCAAUGGCAUAAGCGUGCUUAACUGCGAGACCGACAAGUCGAGCAGGUACGAAAGUAGGACAUAGUGAUCCGGUGGUUCUGUAUGGAAGGGCCAUCGCUCAACGGAUAAAAGGUACUCUGGGGAUAACAGGCUGAUUCCUCCCAAGAGUUCAUAUCGACGGGGGAGUUUGGCACCUCGAUGUCGGCUCAUCACAUCCUGGGGCUGUAGCCGGUCCCAAGGGUAUGGCUGUUCGCCAUUUAAAGUGGUACGUGAGCUGGGUUUAAAACGUCGUGAGACAGUUUGGUCCCUAUCUGCCGUGGGCGUUGGAAAUUUGAAGGGGGCUGCUCCUAGUACGAGAGGACCGGAGUGGACGAACCUCUGGUGUACCGGUUGUCACGCCAGUGGCAUUGCCGGGUAGCUAAGUUCGGAAGAGAUAACCGCUGAAAGCAUCUAAGCGGGAAACUUGCCUUGAGAUGAGAUUUCCCGGAGCCUUGAGCUCCUUGAAGGGUCGUUCGAGACCAGGACGUUGAUAGGCUGGGUGUGGAAGUGCAGUAAUGCAUUAAGCUAACCAGUACUAAUUGCCCGUACGGCUUGUCCCU
rnacentral:rRNA from 1 species